GGUUAAGUUAACAAGGGCGCAUGGUGAAUGCCUUGGCACUAGGAGCCUAUGAAGGACGGGACUAACACCGAUAUGCUUCGGGGAGCUGUACGUAAGCUAUGAUCCGGAGAUUUCCGAAUGGGGCAACCCAGCAGUUUUAAUCAACUGUUACCACUAGAUGAAUUCAUAGUCUAGUUGGAGGUAAACGCUGUGAACUGAAACAUCUCAUUAGCAGCAGGAAUAUAAAGAAAUUUCGAUUCCCUAAGUAGCGGCGAGCGAACGGGGAACAGCCCAAACCAAAGUGCUUGCACUUUGGGGUUGUAGGACUGAACAUUUGAGUUACCAAAGAACUUGAUAGUCGAAGGAUUUGGGAAAAUCCGCCAUAGAUGGUGAUAGCCCAGUAGAUUAAAUCAAAUUCUCUCAGUUCAGGAUCCUGAGUACGGCGGAACACGUGAAAUUCCGUCGGAAUCCGGGAGGACCAUCUCCCAAGGCUAAAUACUACCUAGUGACCGAUAGUGAACCAGUACCGUGAGGGAAAGGUGAAAAGCACCCCGGGAGGGGAGUGAAAUAGUUCCUGAAACCAUGUGCCUACAAUAAGUCAGAGCGCGUUAAUGCGUGAUGGCGUGCCUUUUGUAGAAUGAACCGGCGAGUUAUGAUCCCGUGCAAGGUUAAGACUAAAAAGUCGGAGCCGUAGCGAAAGCGAGUCUGAAAUGGGCGUUUUGAGUACGAGGUUAUAGACCCGAAACCAGGUGACCUAUCCAUGUCCAGGUUGAAGGUGCGGUAAAACGCACUGGAGGACCGAACCCGUGUAAGUUGAAAAUUGCUGGGAUGAGGUGUGGAUAGCGGUGAAAUUCCAAACGAACUUGGAGAUAGCUGGUUCUCUCCGAAAUAGCUUUAGGGCUAGCCUCGGAAUUAGGAUCAUGGAGGUAGAGCACUAUUUGGACUAGGGGCCCGUCUUGGGUUACUGAAUUCAGAUAAACUCCGAAUGCCAUUGAUUCAUAUCCGGGAGUCAGACGAUGAGUGAUAAGAUCCACCGUCGAAAGGGGAACAGCCCAGACCAUCAGUUAAGGUCCCUAAAUGUAUGCUAAGUGGAAAAGGAUGUGGAGUUGCAUAGACAACUAGGAUGUUGGCUCAGAAGCAGCCACCAUUUAAAGAGUGCGUAAUAGCUCACUAGUCGAGUGAUCCUGCGCCGAAAAUGUACCGGGGCUAAGCAUACUACCGAAACCAUGGAUGCGACCAUUAGGUCGCGUGAUAGGAGAGCGUUCUAAGGGCGGUGAAGCAAGAUCGUGAGGACUUGUGGAGCGCUUAGAAGUGAGAAUGCCGGUAUGAGUAGCGAAAGAUAGGUGAGAAUCCUAUCCACCGAAUGACUAAGGUUUCCUGGGGAAGGCUCGUCCUCCCAGGGUUAGUCGGGACCUAAGUCGAGGCCGAGAGGCGUAGACGAUGGAUAACAGGUUGAGAUUCCUGUACUAGUUAAGUGCGUUUGAGCAAUGGAGGGACGCAGGAGGCUAAGAUGUGCAUUCUGUUGGAUUAGAAUGUCCAAGCAGUAAGUCUUGUGAAGAGUCAAAUGCUUUUCACUUUAAGGACAAGCUGUGAUGGGGAGCGAAAUUUAGUAGCGAAGCGUCUGAUGUCACACUGCCGAGAAAAGCUUCUAGUGAGUACUUAACUACCCGUACCGCAAACCGACACAGGUAGUCGAGGAGAGAAUCCUAAGGUGAGCGAGUGAACUCUCGUUAAGGAACUCGGCAAAAUGACCCCGUAACUUCGGGAGAAGGGGUGCUGAUCGCAAGAUCAGCCGCAGUGAAUAGGCCCAGGCGACUGUUUAUCAAAAACACAGGUCUCUGCAAAAUCGUAAGAUGACGUAUAGGGGCUGACGCCUGCCCGGUGCUGGAAGGUUAAAAGGAUGGGUUAGCUUCGGCGAAGCUCAGAAUUGAAGCCCCAGUAAACGGCGGCCGUAACUAUAACGGUCCUAAGGUAGCGAAAUUCCUUGUCGGGUAAGUUCCGACCCGCACGAAAGGCGUAACGAUCUGGGCACUGUCUCAACGAGAGACUCGGUGAAAUUAUAUUGUCCGUGAAGAUGCGGACUACCCGCGACAGGACGGAAAGACCCCAUGGAGCUUUACUGUAGCUUGAUAUUGAGUGUUUGUACAGCUUGUACAGGAUAGGUAGGAGCCAUAGAAACCGGAACGCUAGUUUCGGUGGAGGCGUUGGUGGGAUACUACCCUCGCUGUAUGACCACUCUAACCCGCACCACUAAUCGUGGUGGGAGACAGUGUCAGGUGGGCAGUUUGACUGGGGCGGUCGCCUCCUAAAAAGUAACGGAGGCGCCCAAAGGUUCCCUCAGAAUGGUUGGAAAUCAUUCGCAGAGUGUAAAGGCACAAGGGAGCUUGACUGCGAGACAGACAGGUCGAGCAGGGACGAAAGUCGGGCUUAGUGAUCCGGUGGUACCGUAUGGAAGGGCCAUCGCUCAACGGAUAAAAGCUACCCUGGGGAUAACAGGCUUAUCUCCCCCAAGAGUCCACAUCGACGGGGAGGUUUGGCACCUCGAUGUCGGCUCAUCGCAUCCUGGGGCUGUAGUCGGUCCCAAGGGUUGGGCUGUUCGCCCAUUAAAGCGGUACGCGAGCUGGGUUCAGAACGUCGUGAGACAGUUCGGUCCCUAUCCGUCGCGGGCGUAGGAAAUUUGAGAGGACCUGUCCUUAGUACGAGAGGACCGGGAUGGACAUACCUCUGGUGUACCAGUUGUGCCGCCAGGCGCAUCGCUGGGUAGCUACGUAUGGAUGUGAUAAACGCUGAAAGCAUCUAAGUGUGAAACACACCUCGAGAUGAGAUUUCCCAUUCCUUUAUGGAAGUAAGACCCCUGAAAGAUGAUCAGGUAGAUAGGUUAGAAGUGGCAGUGCGGUGACGCAUGAAGCGGACUAAUACUAAUCGGUCGAGGACUUAACCAA
rnacentral:rRNA from 1 species